CACACAUACACACCCUGCCCUGGUUAUAGAUCACAACUCCCAGAGGAUGAGAGCCUGCUCCAAUAAUCUCAACGUACACAGUUGGAAGCAGCCCAAAGUCUCUUGGAUCAAUUUCCCCCCUUUGGCAGUCAAGGAAAUUGAACACAGGGCCUCACGAAUGCUAAGCAAAUGCUCUACCAUUGAGCUAUCGUUCCACCCCAAAUUCCCUUAUUUGGUAAUUUAUAGACUGGUACCUCUGGAACUGGGCAAGGCAGUGUAUUACUAGCCUUUCCUCUUUAAUUGAAGCCAAAGGUGACACAUAGGCUUAGUACCAUCGGCCAGCCGGGGAGCAUAGUAAAGUGUGCUUGGGGGAGGGGCGUCUGAGGAAGUGACAGAAGGGUUUAACUAUCUGACCUUGCUCAAGUCACUUCACAUUCUCUGAGUUGCAGUUAAUUUGCCUUAAGAGUGAAAUGAAUUUUUCUCUAAGAUUUCUUGUUACUUUUUUUUUUUUUUCAAGAGCUGAUACUUUGGAGUCACUCUCGAAGCAUCGAGUCUGGCCUCUUAUCAAAGUAGUAAGUACACAGCUACUCAUCACAGCGCAGUCUGAGAGAUAAGUAGGUGCACGCAGAGUGCACUAGCCAUGAAGAUGCAGCCUCCUUUACUGCAAACUCGAAACCGUGCCAACCUGCUGAAAUAAAUUCAUGGCAGAGCACAAAACUCCAGGCUUGCCUUUAAUUACGCAAUCUUAGGCAGUAACAGAGCAAGCCUAUUUUGAAGGUUGACUUGCCUGGGCUUCUAUCUAAUGCUCUUCCAUGAAUUUCUCUCUCGUGCAACUGUUUCGCUUGAAGCUUUUGGAAUGUAGCUUGUUACAAGACUCGGAUCCCAGCACAGCUUAAGAGACAAAGGCCGCUGACACAUCUAGCUUCGUUCCGCCAACAUCUAUACUCAUCACCCAAGAAGGAGAAAGUUCAGCCGGCUCCCAGCAAAAUGAAGCCUGAACUAUGCUGUCUGUGCCAUGAGUGAAGACCUUCUGAUGGGAAUGCUCUCCUCGGAGGAGUUUCAGAGAUUCAGUGUGGCCGCACUGCUGGGAACCUCGAAGACCUGUUUCAGAGAGACGUGGUAUGGAGGGGAAAGAUCAGCCCAUUCCCAUCAGUGACAUUGGGAGGACAAGAUUACUAAGAAAAAAGAGAGAAGUAUAAGACCAAGAAUCGCGUUCUUUCUUUUCCCUUAAAUUUAUAUUCAGGCAGAAAAAUACUGGAGAAAAAGUACAUCAAGACACAGGUACUCUGAGGGCUUACACAGUGGCACAGAGAGGAUUUUUUUUUUUUUUUUUUUUUUUUUUUUUUUUGGUAAGCAUUCUUUAAAUCCCAUUAGAACCUGUAAAUGAUAAAUGACUCUACUGAACAUCUGACACCCUCAGAAUGCCCAACAUGUGCGGAGGAAGAAAGUUCGGGAGAAAACUAGUGAGUAGGACAUGAAAAGAGCAAGCAUAGCAUUAGUAGGUGGGCUUGAUGGCCUGUGCUAUACUAAGUCUAUACACUGGGCAGAGGUAGGAGUGAAGAGGCCAGUAGGGUCUAGGACUGUACCAUUACAUACGCUGAUUCAAUAAGAAGCAUCUUACGGUCACUCACAUGUACCCCGUAUGUACGGGGAGCUACUAUAUCCACACUGCUCUCAGUACUCAUGUGACAGUGAUUUAAAAAAAAAAAAAAAGAUGUAGCAGGGCGUGGUGAUGCACAUCUUUAAUCCCAGCACUCGGGAGGCAGAGGCAGGGGAUUUCUGAGUUCAAGGCCAGCCUGGUCUACAAAGUGAGUUCCAGAACAGCCAGGGCUAUACAGAGAAACCCUGUCUCAAAAAACCAAAAAAAAAAAAAAAAACAGAUGUGACUCUCUUACCCUUCUGACCUGUACUCUAGCACAGAAAGACAGUACUGAUGUAAACUAAGGUAAAUGGUAAGGUAACAAGGGGCCACACAGGGGAGCAAACAGGGAAGAGGUUCACUCUUCCAGGUUACACUGCUCAGGAGCCAGAUGUGUCUGAGCGAGCACCUCAGGGGAAAUGGCCAGAGCCAAUGUAGGGGAGAUGGGCUCUGGGGAGAAGGAACAGCAAAGGCCAAGAGCUGGAGGCCAGGAUGAGCCUCAAAGCCUGAGGGAAGAAGACGGAAGCCAAUAGGUCCGGAAGCCUAACUCUUCUCUGAGGAGCUGGGUACCAUAUUAGGGACAAGUUAUGUCAUUAACACGGCCACAUUUUCAUAGAGGAGAGGCCUGCCUCCAUGCAUGCAUAAUUAACACCCUCGGGCCUAAAAAAAAACCGGAAGAAAUGAGCAAGAGGAUAGUGAACAAUCCCAGGUCAGGCAACCAGCAAGGUUUUAGCAUAUGUAUCCCAAGCUCAGCACCACAAUGCUUUAAAACAAAGAAAACCCAGCCAAGUUCAUCUAAAUGUUUACUAUUUAAAACUGAUCCGUGUUCCCUUUCUUACCUAACAGAUGGCUGUUAGGUGACAGAUGACAGGACCCUAAUCCUCACUGAGAAAUGAAUGAAAUAGCCAAAGUGACCUUCGGAGAUCUCACUAUCCUAGCAACUGGCUUCGAGAACCUGUGAACGAGGGAACUUGUCUCUCGGGGUAUGCACUGCUACACCUCCGCAUAUUACAGUCAAAUAAAUAAAUACAUAGAGGUGGUGGGCUCUCCCUCAGCUAAAAGGGUGCCUUUAACAGUUAAGCCCUGGAAACCAGUUUUCACUUGUCAAGGGAAUAGACACACUGUAUUAUUUACCUAAGAGAAUGGCCUGCAGUAGCUAAGUGUGAGUAGAGACCUACAUGGACCUCAAACAAAAUUACUAGAGAAGCAAGUUGUAUGGUGCCAUGAAUGUAAAACUAGGCUCAUAAAUGCUCAAGAAUCUUCGUAGACCCACAGAGAAGGACCCGACACGCUUGGGAACUAUGUAUGUACUAACUGGACAUCUGUGCUUGCUCGGGGCUAAAAGAAAAGAAGAAAAGGCAGAUAACGUAUUUGUUUUUAUCUGAGGGAGGGAAUAGGAAGA